GCCUGGGAACCAGAAGCCAAGAUCACACUGGAGCAUAUAUUCCAGCUGUGACCAUCCCACAGGACCACCCUUGGGGGGGGGGGAUAGGUGCUGUUGCCCUCUGCAAUGUGUGCUCAUCAUCUCUGCCAUUCAUUUAAAGCUGUGGGUGUUUGACCUGUGCAUCUCUUUUCAUGACGGUUAGCAGAGAGGAAGCCUCUCCCACAAUACUCACUACAGUUAUUUCCAGGGUGGCCUGGGUUUUACGCUGCCCCAUCCACCAAGGCUGAGAGACGUCAUCCAUGGGGGGGGGCCACCAGGUGGCGCAUUGGAAGAUGGCCGACAAUAACAUCUCUCCGACCCACACGAGGUAAUAAAGAGGCUGCUAUGGGAAGUAUGCAGUCUUCCUACCCCCCCAAGGAGAUGGGAGGGACAGCCUUGCCAGCGACGUCCAUAAUGCACCCCCGGAUUCGAAAGAAGGGGGUGCAGGACAUUUGGCAUCAGCCCUCGAUGGGUUCGGCGCUUCCUGACGCUGUCUCCAAUCAGUGACCUGGUUCGCUUCAGCUCGAAAAUAUAAUUGGAAAUAUAUAAUUGGAAUGAAGCUGAAGCUGAACAUCAAGCAAAGUUCGAGAGAUAAGGCUGGAGAUUAAUGCAUCUCUGUGUUUGGAGUGACAGGAGGAGACAAAUAAAUCAAGCGAUGUCCACCAUUACGAGACUGGUAUGUGCAGAGUGAAAAAAGAGGGGGGGUGGAGGAAAAAACUUUUAUUUUCUUUGCCUCAUGUGAGUAUUUAUAAACCUCCACCCCAGAGGGACUAAUCGUCGCCUUUUACUAAUCGCAAGCAAGAAUUUAAGAGCUGUGUGGAGUGAAUUAUUGAUUGAAGAGAGGACUGGUAAAUAUGGAGUGUGGAGGAAAAAUUCUAUGACGCAGUUUUUAAUGGCGUCUUGCUAAGACAGGCUUGUUGAAGAAAGACGAGGGGAGGAGGACCAGGGUCAUUGGAAUGUAAAUGAUGGAUUGAAUGUGAUAACCUGGCAGAGCCCCUUUGUGAUAUACGUGGCAAGCUUGGGAAAAUUAGUAGGACAGACCGAGGAUAAAUUUUUGAAGAAGGGGAGGAAUGGCGGCUGUCCUUAUGAGAUAUGACUUUUGGAGUGUGCAAAACCCACACAGAUGUUGUUUGUUCCUAACCUGCUUGUGAAGACUAUCAGAGAUUGCAAAGAAAGGAAUACCUGAUAACAACAAGAAGAUGAAGAAGUAAUAAAGAGACUAUCUGGACAGAUCUGGAUAGAACCGUUUGAUAAAAGCAGUAACAGAAGUGAUGUUUUGAUUCUCGUUCGGAGCUUGAUGUAAGUGUACCCCCAACAAAAUUUAAAAAUCUGGCUGUAUAAUUUGGAAGUAAUAUGAUUUGGAAAUAAUGUGAUUGGACUGGCCUGUU
rnacentral:lncRNA from 1 species